rnacentral:rRNA from 1 species
CCGAAAGGCGUAGGCGAUGGAUAACGGGUUGAUAUUCCCGUACCGGCGAAGGACCGCCCAUACUGAGCUGUGGAUGCUAACCAUGACGGAUUCCAGUUGUUGAUGCCUUCGGGUGUCUUGUUGGUUGAUGUGGUGGGAACCGAUGCAGUGAGGUCAGCGUAUUAACAGGUGUGACGCAGGAAGGUAGCCGAGCCAGGCAAUGGAAUUGACCUGGUCCAAGGGUGUAGGAAGAGUGGUUGGCAAAUCCGCCGCUCAUAUGUUCUGAAACCUGAUAGGCGCCCACUUUUGUGGGUGAUUCGGUGAUCCUAUGCUGCCUAAAAAAGCAUCGGCGCGAGGUCCCAGUCCGCCCGUACCCCAAACCAACACUGG